rnacentral:rRNA from 1 species
AUACGAAGGGGGCUAGCGUUGCACGGAAUGACUGGGCGUAAAGGGUGCGUAGGCGGCGCUGUAAGUCAGACGUGAAAUUCCUGGGCUUAACCUGGGGACUGCGUUUGAGACUGUGGUGCUAGGGGGUGGAAGAGGCUCGUGGAAUUCCCAGUGUAGAGGUGAAAUUCGUAGAUAUUGGGAAGAACACCGGUGGCGAAGGCGGCGAGCUGGUCCAUUACUGACGCUGAGGCACGAUAGCGGUGGGGAGAC